CAGCCGCCGCGGUAAUACGGAGGGUGCAAGCGUUAAUCGGAAUUACUGGGCGUAAAGCGCACGCAGGCGGUUUGUUAAGUCAGAUGUGAAAUCCCCGAGCUUAACUUGGGAACUGCAUUUGAAACUGGCAAGCUAGAGUCUUGUAGAGGGGGGUAGAAUUCCAGGUGUAGCGGUGAAAUGCGUAGAGAUCUGGAGGAAUACCGGUGGCGAAGGCGGCCCCCUGGACAAAGACUGACGCUCAGGUGCGAAAGCGUGGGGAGCAAACAGGAUUAGAGACCCCUGUAGUCCCUGUCUCUUAUAC
rnacentral:rRNA from 1 species